rnacentral:lncRNA from 1 species
UUUUAUUUACUUUAUUUUGUUUUAGUAAUUUACUAUUUGGUAUUUGAUUUAGUUUUUUUAUUAUUUGAUUUUAUUUUAUUUUCUAUAUUGUUUUUUAAAAUUAAAAAAAAUACAAAAAAAGGACAGAAGAAAAAAAAAGGAAAAAAGAAAACAAAAAAAGGAAAGAAAGAAAAGAAAAUGAAAGAAAAAGAGUUUGUUGACAGAGGGGGAAUCUUCCAAAAACACAUGGACACUCCCCUUGACUCUUGGGCUCUCUCAUACACACACCCGUAACCACCCCCACCAUUUUUUCCCUUUCACUCCCAAUUCGACGCCCUCCUCAUUAUUCACCUCACACACGCUACGAUGGAUUCCUAAAUUCGCUCACUGAUCCCUCUUUCUCACUCUCUCUCGGACACACACAUGCACAAUCCUCUACUAACUGAUUUUCUUUUUCCUCUUUCAAACCACAAUCCACCAUAAUCGGCAUAAACACUGAUCACCUCCUGGAAAAGGGAGGAGGUCUUAAAACUCAUUCAUCA